GAUGAACGCUGGCGGCGUGCCUAAUACAUGCAAGUCGAGCGAAUGGAUUAAGAGCUUGCUCUUAUGAAGUUAGCGGCGGACGGGUGAGUAACACGUGGGUAACCCGCCCAUAAGACUGGGAUAACUCCGGGAAACCGGGGCUAAUCCCGGAUAACAUUUUGAACCGCAUGGUUCGAAAUUGAAAGGCGGCUUCGGCUGUCACUUAUGGAUGGACCCGGGUCGCAUUAGCUAGUUGGUGAGGUAACGGCUCACCAAGGCAACGAUGCGUAGCCGACCUGAGAGGGUGAUCGGCCACACUGGGACUGAGACACGGCCCAGACUCCUACGGGAGGCAGCAGUAGGGAAUCUUCCGCAAUGGACGAAAGUCUGACGGAGCAACGCCGCGUGAGUGAUGAAGGCUUUCGGGUCGUAAAACUCUGUUGUUAGGGAAGAACAAGUGCUAGUUGAAUAAGCUGGCACCUUGACGGUACCUAACCAGAAAGCCACGGCUAACUACGUGCCAGCCGCCGCGGUAA
rnacentral:rRNA from 1 species